CCUGGAGAGGUGUCAUUGUGGAAUAAUUGUAUCGUCUGUUGCAAGAUUGUGAGAUGACAGAACGCUGACCUUGUCAUAGCAGCAAAGUGGCAGAGGAAGAUAAGUUUAGACGAUUUUGAUGACAAAGAAAAAUACAGUGCUCGUCUUCACUCUUCUCCAAAACUGUGUGUAGGUCCAUGUACCUGGGUCCCUCACCGACAUGGAGCUGAGGAAUGCAGGCUCGGUGUGCAUGUUCUCCUGCGGACAGAGCUGCAGCGUUUCUCUAACCAGUGGCAGGCAGAGCCCUGCACAGAGCAGCAUGCCGAGGAUUUAUCGACCCAUUGCUCGCCAGCCAAACGAGAGAAGCCAUUAAUCAGUCCUCAGGAGGAGGAUGAUCCAGGACAGCACUGUUUUUCUUGUGGGCUUGUCUUUCCCGCAAAACCUUAUCCUUCCUCAGUCUGAUGUAGAAGAGGAUUCUGAACCCUAAGAUGUAGCCAGCACAGGUUAUUUAGUGUUGUUUCUCAAAGCUGAAAUCCCCUUAAACCAGUAUUUUGGUACCUGAUCAGUUUGUUUUAGUAUUAGUUUUAGACAUUAGACAAGUUUUAAGCUAGUUUUAGUCAACGACAUUUUUAAGUGGGUAUGUCAAAAGUUAGUUUAAUUUUCAUCACAUAUUUUAAA